ACGUGGGAUCCCCACACCCCUCAAUCCUCUCCCUAUUUUCUGCAUACUGUCUCUCUCUCUCCUCCCUCACGAAUCUCUCUCUCUCUGUCACUCUUCUUCUCCGUUCGAACAAACCAACCACAAAACAACCUUAAACUUCCACCAACGACGGAGUUAAGACCACCAUCGAACUCCUGGAGGCUCCACGAUCACGUAGACACCAAUUUCAGGUAAGUUUUACUUCGGAAAACCUAGAUUCUAAACUCCCCGUGAAAGUGCACUGUUCAUGAUCUUCGAAUUGACUUUGUUUUAGGACAAUCCAAGCUCACAGUGAGCUUAGUGAGGUUCCAAGGAAGCUCGGAGUGCUUCGUUGGAAGUUUUUGGACGUAAGAACACGGAGAUCGAUAAGUUCAAAGUUUGGCCGGAGCUUUCGAGGCAUGUUCCGGCGAAUCCCCGGCGAGUUAGGCGUCGAGGUAGGUAUCAAUCUCUUCGUCUCGUCAAGUACUACAACUUUCCUUUUUGUUUCACUCAAUUUCGUUGAGUAUUGAAGAAGUUAUACUCAUUUGAAAAAUACCCAGUUUCCGGCGACCUCCGAGGCUUUCGAGGCAGUUUCCGGCCAAACUACGGCGAACUAGGUGUUGGGAAAGGUACCAUUCUCUUUGUCUCUUCAAGGGCUACAACUUUCGUUUUUGAAUCACUUGAUUUCGUUAAGAAAUGACAAAGUUUAUGGCAAUUUGAAAAAACCGCCCAGAAAAACGGCCGCCGGAAAAACCAGUCCGGCGACCCAAGGAAGAAGAAGGUGCUACAGUAAAAAUAAAAAAUAAAAAUAAAAUUAUUUUUAAAAAUAUGUCGACGUCCGUGACGUCGAGUAGAUCACUGUGGUAUAUUCAUAUACCUAAAUUGAACACCGUAUGAGAAAAGUUAUUGAAGAUUGUUGGUUAGGUGUUCAAAUAACGUUUUAUAGUUUUCACAUUUAGGUGAAAAUGUGAAUUGAUGAUCCGACCGUUGGAUCGUCACCAAACUUUGAUACGUUGUAAUACGUAAUAUUUGAGGAUUAUUGGAACUUACGGAUUGGGAAUCCGAGAUACGGAUCUUCCGGAAUUGGAAUUGUAAGUCCAUAAUAUAAAAUGUUAACCGUCACUUAGUUUUGGAAAUUGACGGAGAUCCGACCGUUGGAUGGUAAUGAAAUUUUAGGAUGUUGUCCUAGAGGUAUAAUGUGGACCUCUGGAAGUUAUGGAUUUAAAAUCUGAGGGGUGGAUCUUCCGGAUCAAUCUACGUAGUGACGUAUUUUAUAUAAGUUAUAUAUUCUAUCGAUAUGAAUUCUGAGGUUGGAAUUGAUUAUUGUUUUAGGCGCCGAUCGUCAUGACGCCUUGGCGUAUUGUGCUAGGGAGUUGUAGGGCGAACUCCAGGUGAGUGGGCAGUUUUGUUUUCCGUAUUAUAUAUAUAUAUACUUAACGUUUUCCCAGAAUGAAUUGAAAAUGCAUGAAAUUUAUGUUUAAAAUUGAAAAUGAAAUGCAUAUGAGUAUGAUAUGAAAGAUGAAAUGUAUGAAAUAACAUGUAUAAUGAUGAUGAUUGAUAAUGUAUUGGUAUACAUGAGCUGUUAUGAAAUCCUGCUCACCUGCAUGGUUUAGUGCUUUAUAGUAUUCACCGCAUCGCACGCUCGCCUUGGAUCCAAGUAGAUGCUAGUCGUACAGUCCACGCGGAGUGGGUACGACAGACCAGUCGCGAGAGUGUUAGUGAGAUUCCGACUGGUGGGUGACCUUAGAUUAGUGUGCACAGAUGAUUUAUGAGAAGCACUAGAGCGUAACUUGUGUGCAGAAGGCCGGACGGGUCACAGAGGUGACUCCGGUAGAGUGAUAAUGAUAGAUUUUGAGCUCUAGGUUCAACCGUAUAGGGCUAUUAGAGGGCCUACGGUUGAUUACUUUUUUCUUGCACCUGAUAUGAAUUAUGAUUGCAUGCAUACCUUAUAUUACUGUUGAGAUGAAUGUGGCAUGGCAUAAUUAAUAUGAGAAAUGUUGAGAUGACAUGGCAUGGCAUGAUUUGAUAUAAAGGAGAUAAUGUUGAGAUAGUAAAAAAUGAAGUUUUGAGAGAUAUAUAUGUAUAUUUAUAUUUUUACAUUUCUGGGAAAGUAUACAGGUUUUACGGAGAGGGGUUACAACGUUUUGAGAAAUGUUUGGAUUUGGAAAAGAAUUGUUUUACUGACCCACUCAAUUUUGGUUUUGCGCCCCUCCAGGUUCAGGAAUCACAAAGGUGUGGUGACUACGAGGAAUUCGACGGUGUUCUGACAGAUUGGACAAAAUUAGGACUCACCUUCGGGUGUAUCAAUUUAAAUUGUAUCUUAAAGCUUCCGUACUGUGCAAAUGGUUACGUCACUCUCACGUGACGGCCAGCAUGCCCUCCUUCGGGACGGGGUGUGUCAGUCGAGUUGUGGAGGAUCGAACCAACUCAAAUUGCAUGAUUGUUACACCUUUGGACAUAAACUAAUCAUGCAAAGAAAAUACAUGCAUAGCUAGCCAAAACAUAAAAUACACAACAUACAUAUAGCUUCAACAGCUUUGGCCAGAUGAAAAUAUGUUAGAAGUACUUUAUGAUUUGCUAUAAUACUAAUUUAUAAUUGGUGAGUGAUUUCCUGAAAUUCCCAUUGGGACAAAAGUAUUUACCAUAUAAAUUAGAAUUCUGAUUUUUAAAAUAAUCCUUUAGAACAGUAUUAAAUAACCGUUUUGUUGGAUAUUCAAUUAUUCUCAAAAGAUUCAAUCAGACACAAAACUAUGUCGUUGUUGACAUUGAACAAUAGAGUUCUCGAAAGAGGAAACAUGGUUAUUCAGUUAUUUGAUAGGGACCAAAAU
rnacentral:lncRNA from 1 species